AGAACCGGGCCUCGCGUCCGAAUACGGAUGGGUGGAUGGGUGGCCGGCAGGAGCGGGCAACAGCCGUUUACCCUUCUGUGCUCACUCUCGGUUAACACAAGGCGGCGGCGGUAGCAUUAGCUGCCAGGCCCAGCCGCCCUGUGGAAGUCGGUGCUGCGGCGACACCGCGGGGGGGAUCACCAGCCCCUUCAGACUGAACCAAAUGGGAAAGGAUUUCCAGCCGAACUUUUAAUAAAUGGCAGUUUAAUAGGUUGGGGCUGUUUGUAGUGCACUGAAUACUUCAAUAAAUGCAGCUGCUGUUUCCACUUCUCUUCAGCUCUGAAGAAGGAUCAUACGACUGGAAAUAAUGGUGCUGGGCUUCAACCUCCUCUACCAUUGGCCCAACCCUCAUUUCAAGUGAGACUUCCUUUGUGGCUGUUCCUUAUUUCCCAAUGAUGAUUUUAUUUUUGAACUGUAGAGAAGGGUUUCGCUCUGUGCUGCAGACUGAUUGGCGGUCAACUUCCAAGUCCUAUGAAAACAUGAGAUACAUUAUUAAGUUACAACAGACACAUAUGUUGCACAAUGUCGAAUAAGUCGGAUAGCCUCCAUACUGGUGUCAGGAAAUGCAGCAUUACAAGCAAACUCAGCUAAACAUUUCACAGC